rnacentral:sRNA from 1 species
AAGCUAUCCCUCGCUGCUAAGCUAUCGCCGCUGCCAACCUAUCUAUUGCUGCAAGCUAUCCCUCGCUGCUAAGCUAUCACUGCCAACCUCUCUAUUGCUGCAAGCUAUCCCUCGCUGCUAAGCUAUCGCUGCCAAUCUAUCUAUCGCUGCCAACCUAUCUAUCGCUGCCAAUUUAUCUACCACUGCCAAUCUAUCUAUUGCUGCUAAUCUAUCGCUGCUGUCAAUCUAUCUAUCGCUGCUAAUCUAUCUAUCGCUGCUAAUCUAUCGCCGCUGCCAAUCUCUCCCUCACUGCUAAGCUAUCCCUCGCUGCUAAGCUAUCACAGCCAAUCUAUCGCUGCUAAUCUAUCGCUGCCAACCUAUCUACCGCGGCGAAUCUAUCUAUCGCUGCCAAUUUAUCUACCACUGCCAAUCUAUCUAUCGCUGCCAAUCUAUUGCUGCUAAUCUAUCGCUGCUAAUCUAUCGCUGCUGCCAAUCUAUCUUUCGCUGCUAAUCUAUCGCCGCUGCCAAUCUAUCCCUCACUGCUAAGCUAUCCCUCGCUGCUAAGCUAUCCCUCACUGCUAAGCUAUCUCUCGCUGCUAAGCUAUCCCUCACUGCUAAGCUAUCCCUCGCUGCUAAGCUAUCCCUCACUACUAAGCUAUCUAUCACUGCUAAUCUAUCGCUGCCAACCUAUCUAUCACUGCCAAUCUAUCUAUCGCUGCUAAUCUAUCGCUGCUAAUCUAUUGCUGCUAAUCUAUCGCUGCUAAUCUAUCGCUGCCAACCUAUCUACCGCGGCGAAUCUAUCUAUCACUAUCAUUACUAGUUCAAAAUAGAACUAGAGCAUAAAUACACUAAACUUCUUUUGAUAGAUAAUGAUUUUUGGUAACACUCAUAGCAUUAUAUCAUCUAUAUAGGGUAAAUCAUGGUCCCAUUUGGUCCCAUUUUAACAAAAUGGGAUCAAAUGGAAUCAGAAUCAGUAAUUUAUAAGAAGAACAUGACCUGAGACUAGAUUUAUAAUAUAAACAGUGUAAAGUGACUAAUUUAAUAAACACUAUAUGGAAUCAGAACUAAGAAAUUUGAUAAUGG